GCCACGUGAAGCCGGACACAAGGGCUACACUAAUCUUUGGGCUGGAGUAGCCUGUGGUUUUUAAGGCUUCGUGUCUCAUCGCGUUAAACGAUCGCAGAACGAUUUAUUUCUCUUUUUCACCUCGAUCUUUGGCCUCUUGUGAUUUACCAAAACCAACAUGUGAAGUUACAACGCUGACGAAGGAGUUUCAUCAGUAGAGCCAAAAUCGAGCUGCAAAUCCUGAAGGCAAGGCACGUUGAACAUUGUGUCCUGGUAAACGUGUGCUCGAAAACAUGCAGAUUACAGUAUUUACAGAGCCGAUGAGGCACCCACUGAUGGAUAAUCUGUUUACCUAAAAACAGCCCACCACAAUCCAUGUUUACCAGCUGUGAAAGUGCAGGCCAAAAAUCUUCCUUCACCUGUGGGCCUCUUCCCAAAUGUAGAUAAGCACUUCAGGAUAAACCUGCCUGUGAUCUGCUAAGAUGCACAGAUUCAACUCUGGCCCAUUGUCAUCCCAACACCUCAUCUGCCAUCAGUUUCGUUUAGUGUCGGUCUAUUGCAAAAGUUCUUAUAAACUUUAAAUGAGACUUUGUGUUAAGCAGGGGUUUCCAAACUUUUCAUUCCACAACAUAUUAAGCCCAGGAUACACAGCAGGAUUUUUGCAAUCCAAUAAGACCUUAUCACACUGUGUGACAAGGAUUGUUUAAACUUCAGCAGUAGACUGUCGAUGAAGACACCUAUUGCGUCUGAGGCUGCGACAUCCGUCAUCAGCAUGCGCUAGUGGUAAACAAAUACAGGUAUGCAGGUCGUAGAAGCAAACACGUUGUUGAUGUGCGUUGAUCAUGCUGAACUUCUUACACUGUCAUAAAACUAUCGUAGGUGUCUUUGGUCCAAGGACUGGGAAAACAGACGUCUUUAAACCUCUCACACUGUAUGAGAUAGGACCACCAAUUAAGAGCCACGAUCACAGAAAUCUCCACGAUUGUUUCACGAUUGGUAAUCUUUCAUCUGGGACAGCCAAAAAUCGUGCCGUGUAUUAUGGGCUUUAGACAGGUGUAAUCUUAUAGUUUAUCAAAACCAUUGCUAAUAAUUAAUUGGACAAACCAUCACUACAAUGCAACACUCACUAUCUUAGGGUGCGACCCACAAGUGGGUCUUCACCCACAGUUUAAAAACCCUGAGUAUGAGAGAGUAUGCUGUAUUGUAAUUAAAGUCACAUCUAAGUGUUAUGGAACAGUUUGUCAUUAUAUUCACAGUAUUACAUGGUUCUUUCAGCAGUUACAUUACAGUACUCUUAAAGUGUCCUGAUCAGCUUUGGGUCUUGUGAAGUAAUGUAAUGAGAACGUGAUCAAUAGCUUUGCAGUAUUUUGUUACACUGUGGCUGUAAUCAUAUUAACACAUAGGUUAAACAUUUUAUUCAAAUUUGGUAAACAAGUCAAUAUAAUUCAUGCUGUGAUGCUGGAUUAAACCUGGUCAAAUGAU